rnacentral:tRNA from 1 species
UGGGGGGUAGUUUAUUAAAAUAUAAGCUUUGGAAGCUUAAGAUACUAAAUUUUAGUCUCUCUAAAG